UACGAAGGGGGCUAGCGUUGCUCGGAAUCACUGGGCGUAAAGGGCGCGUAGGCGGGCCACCAAGUCAGGGGUGAAAUCCCACGGCUCAACCGUGGAAGUGCCCUUGAUACUGGUGGCCUCGAGGGAGGCAGGGGCGUGCGGAACUUUGGGUGGAGCGGUGAAAUGCGUAGAUAUCCAAAGGAACACCGGUGGCGAGAGCGGCGCGCUGGACCUCUUCUGACGCUGAGGCGCGAAAGCCAGGGGAGCAAACGGG
rnacentral:rRNA from 1 species